CCUAACACAUGCAAGUCGAGCGGUAGCACAGAGAGCUUGCUCUCGGGUGACGAGCGGCGGACGGGUGAGUAAUGUCUGGGAAACUGCCUGAUGGAGGGGGAUAACUACUGGAAACGGUAGCUAAUACCGCAUAAUGUCGCAAGACCAAAGUGGGGGACCUUCGGGCCUCAUGCCAUCAGAUGUGCCCAGAUGGGAUUAGCUAGUAGGUGGGGUAACGGCUCACCUAGGCGACGAUCCCUAGCUGGUCUGAGAGGAUGACCAGCCACACUGGAACUGAGACACGGUCCAGACUCCUACGGGAGGCAGCAGUGGGGAAUAUUGCACAAUGGGCGCAAGCCUGAUGCAGCCAUGCCGCGUGUGUGAAGAAGGCCUUCGGGUUGUAAAGCACUUUCAGCGGGGAGGAAGGCGAUAAGGUUAAUAACCUUGUCGAUUGACGUUACCCGCAGAAGAAGCACCGGCUAACUCCGUGCCAGCAGCCGCGGUAAUACGGAGGGUGCAAGCGUUAAUCGGAAUUACUGGGCGUAAAGCGCACGCAGGCGGUCUGUCAAGUCGGAUGUGAAAUCCCCGGGCUCAACCUGGGAACUGCAUUCGAAACUGGCAGGCUAGAGUCUUGUAGAGGGGGUAGAAUUCCAGGUGUAGCGGUGAAAUGCGUAGAGAUCUGGAGGAAUACCGGUGGCGAAGGCGGCCCCCUGGACAAAGACUGACGCUCAGGUGCGAAAGCGUGGGGAGCAAACAGGAUUAGAUACCCUGGUAGUCCACGCCGUAAACGAUGUCGAUUUGGAGGUUGUGCCCUUGAGGCGUGGCUUCCGGAGCUAACGCGUUAAAUCGACCGCCUGGGGAGUACGGCCGCAAGGUUAAAACUCAAAUGAAUUGACGGGGGCCCGCACAAGCGGUGGAGCAUGUGGUUUAAUUCGAUGCAACGCGAAGAACCUUACCUGGUCUUGACAUCCACAGAACUUUCCAGAGAUGGAUUGGUGCCUUCGGGAACUGUGAGACAGGUGCUGCAUGGCUGUCGUCAGCUCGUGUUGUGAAAUGUUGGGUUAAGUCCCGCAACGAGCGCAACCCUUAUCCUUUGUUGCCAGCGGUUCGGCCGGGAACUCAAAGGAGACUGCCAGUGAUAAACUGGAGGAAGGUGGGGAUGACGUCAAGUCAUCAUGGCCCUUACGACCAGGGCUACACACGUGCUACAAUGGCAUAUACAAAGAGAAGCGACCUCGCGAGAGCAAGCGGACCUCAUAAAGUAUGUCGUAGUCCGGAUUGGAGUCUGCAACUCGACUCCAUGAAGUCGGAAUCGCUAGUAAUCGUAGAUCAGAAUGCUACGGUGAAUACGUUCCCGGGCCUUGUACACACCGCCCGUCACACCAUGGGAGUGGGUUGCAAAAGAAGUAGGUAGCUUAACCUUCGGGAGGGCGCUUACCACAG
rnacentral:rRNA from 1 species